UAGCUUUUUCGUAAGUCAAACCUUUUAAACUUUGACCAAAUUUAUAGAAAAAUGUAUCAACAUCUAGAAUGUCAAAUAAGUACACUAUGAAAAUAUAUAUCAUGAGGAUUUAAUAAAACUAAUUUAGAGUCGUAAAUGUUGGUAGGUUUUUCUAUAAAUUUGGUCAAAGUUUAAGAAGUUUGACUUACAAAAAAACUAG
rnacentral:pre_miRNA from 1 species